rnacentral:rRNA from 1 species
ACGCUGGCGGCAUGCCUUACACAUGCAAGUCGAACGGUAACAGGUCUUCGGACGCUGACGAGUGGCGAACGGGUGAGUAAUACAUCGGAACGUGCCCAGUCGUGGGGGAUAACUACUCGAAAGAGUAGCUAAUACCGCAUACGAUCUGAGGAUGAAAGCGGGGGACCUUCGGGCCUCGCGCGAUUGGAGCGGCCGAUGGCAGAUUAGGUAGUUGGUGGGAUAAAAGCUUACCAAGCCGACGAUCUGUAGCUGGUCUGAGAGGACGACCAGCCACACUGGGACUGAGACACGGCCCAGACUCCUACGGGAGGCAGCAGUGGGGAAUUUUGGACAAUGGGCGAAAGCCUGAUCCAGCAAUGCCGCGUGCAGGAUGAAGGCCUUCGGGUUGUAAACUGCUUUUGUACGGAACGAAAAAGCUCCUUCUAAUACAGGGGGCCCAUGACGGUACCGUAAGAAUAAGCACCGGCUAACUACGUGCCAGCAGCCGCGGUAAUACGUAGGGUGCGAGCGUUAAUCGGAAUUACUGGGCGUAAAGCGUGCGCAGGCGGUUAUGUAAGACAGAUGUGAAAUCCCCGGGCUCAACCUGGGAACUGCAUUUGUGACUGCAUGGCUAGAGUACGGUAGAGGGGGAUGGAAUUCCGCGUGUAGCAGUGAAAUGCGUAGAUAUGCGGAGGAACACCGAUGGCGAAGGCAAUCCCCUGGACCUGUA